GACGAACGCUGGCGGCGUGCUUAACACAUGCAAGUCGAACGGAAAGGCCCUGCUUUUGUGGGGUGCUCGAGUGGCGAACGGGUGAGUAACACGUGAGUAACCUGCCCUUGACUUUGGGAUAACUUCAGGAAACUGGGGCUAAUACCGGAUAGGAGCUCCUGCUGCAUGGUGGGGGUUGGAAAGUUUCGGCGGUUGGGGAUGGACUCGCGGCUUAUCAGCUUGUUGGUGGGGUAGUGGCUUACCAAGGCUUUGACGGGUAGCCGGCCUGAGAGGGUGACCUGCCACAUUGGGACUGAGAUACGGCCCAGACUCCUACGGGAGGCAGCAGUGGGGAAUAUUGCACAAUGGGCGGAAGCCUGAUGCAGCAACGCCGCGUGCGGGAUGAAGGCCUUCGGGUUGUAAACCGCUUUCGCCUGUGACGAAGCGUGAGUGACGGUAAUGGGUAAAGAAGCACCGGCUAACUACGUG
rnacentral:rRNA from 1 species